rnacentral:lncRNA from 1 species
GUGCGGGUCCGCGCGGGGCCGGGCUGCCGGGGGCGGCGCGCCGCGUGCACGGCCGGGCCAUUGUGUGGCGGGCGCCGGCGCCGGCGGGGCGCGGGGCUGCGGGCUCCGGGCUCGGGCGCCGCCCUCCUCGGCGGUCCCCGCGGGCCGGGCCGGGCGCUCGCCGCUCCUCCCCGCUCCUCCCCGCGGGCGGCCGGCCGGGCUGGGGCGCGCGCUGCGCCUCCUGCGGCCGGCGUCGGGGGCGCUGUGGCCCGGCCCGCGGGGCGCGGCGGGGCUCGGCUCGGCUCGGCUGCGCUCGGCUGGCGGGGCUCGGCUCGGCUCGGCUCGGCUCGGCUCGGCUCGGCUCGGCUCGGCGGGGCUCGGCUCGGCUCGGCUCGGCUCGGCUCGGCUGCGCUCGGCUGGCGGGGCUCGACUCGGCUCGGCUGGCUGAGCUGGGCUGGGCUCGGCUUUGCUCCGCUCCGCUUGGCUCGGCUGGGCUCGGCUCGGCUCGACUCGGCUCGGCUGGCGGGGCUCGGCUCGACUCGGCUGGGCUCGGCUCGGCUGGGCUCGGCGCGGCUCGGCUCGGCUCGGCUCGGCCGGCGUGGGGAGCGCACAGGCGCCGGGACAGUCGGAACGCGGGGGCCCCGCGUGCGGGAGCCUCUGCUGCGGGGACGCGGGGCCCCGGGGCGCCCAGUCCCCCGGGAGCCGCGGCGGGUGCCCCCCACCCAGCCUCUCCCUCCCGGCCCCCUACCUCGGUUUCCGCCGCCUCUCCCUCCCGCUGCCCAUGCAUCUGUCCCUUCUCUGGAUUUCCAUCUCCAGUUUCUCUCUUCUUUCUGGGGGUUUGAAAUCUCCACUCGUCUUUAUUAUUAUUUUUUAAAGAUUUUAUUUAUUUAUCAUGAGACACAGAGAAAGGCAGAGACACAAGCAGAGGGAGAGCAGGCUCCCUGCAGGGAGCACAGUGUGGGACUCGAUCCCGGGUCUCCUGGGUCACGCUCUGGGCCCAAGGCAGGCACUGCACCGCUGAGCCCCGGUCUGCCCAGCCCUCUUUAUAUUGCUGUCGGCUCCCUCCUUUGCCUCCCUGUCGCCUCGCUCCCUCCUUCUCCCUUGGUGCAUUUUCUUUCUCCUUCCCGUGCCCUCUUCUCCGGGCCUCCACCAUCAGUUUCUAUGUUGGGGGUGACAAGAGAGCGGCCGGGAACCAGGCCUCUGCUCCUGGGUUUGGAGAGGGUCCGCACAUCAGUGACCACACAGUUGGCAGCAUUUCUCACUUGCGUGCAUGAGCACACCCACACACGCACCCCCCCCCCCCCCCCCCCACACACACACACUCCACUGUGCUUGGAUUUUGCUGGCAGUUCACCUUCCUGCCCUGUCAUCAGCCAUAAAUGCUUUGGAAAAGUUUACCUUUAA